rnacentral:rRNA from 1 species
GACGAACCGUGCGAACGUUGUUCGGAAUCACUGGGCUUAAAGGGCGCGUAGGCGGGUCGGAAAGUCCGCGGUGAAAUCCCCCCGCUCAACGGGGGAACGGCCGCGGAUACUGCCGGCCUCGAGGGGGGUAGGGGCGAGCGGAACGCUGGGUGGAGCGGUGAAAUGCGUUGAUAUCCAGCGGAACUCCGGUGGCGAAGGCGGCUCGCUGGACCUUCACUGACGCUGAGGCGCGAAGGUCAGGGGAGCAAACGGG